UACAGGGGGUGCAAACGUUGCUCGGAAUCAUUGGGCGUAAAGCGCACGUAGGCGGUCUGUUAUGUCGGAUGUGAAAGCCCUUGGCUUAACUGAGGAAGUGCAUCCGAAACUGGCAGGCUAGAGUACUAAAGAGGGUCGCGGAAUUCCCGGUGUAGAGGUGAAAUUCGUAGAUAUCGGGAGGAACACCGGUGGCGAAGGCGGCGACCUGGGUAGAUACUGACGCUGAGGCGCGAAAGCUAGGGGAGCAAACAGG
rnacentral:rRNA from 1 species